rnacentral:rRNA from 1 species
GACGUAGGGCGCGAGCGUUGUCCGGAUUUAUUGGGCGUAAAGCGCGUGUAGGCGGCUUUGCAAGUCGGGUGUGAAAGCCCUCGGCUCAACCGAGGAAGUGCGCCCGAAACUGCAGAGCUUGAGUACCGGAGAGGGUGACGGAAUUCCCCAAGUAGAGGUGAAAUUCGUAGAUAUGGGGAGGAACACCGGUGGCGAAGGCGGUCACCUGGACGGAUACUGACGCUGAGACGCGAAAGCGUGGGUAGCAAACAGG